CCUACGGGGGGCAGCAGUGGGGAAUAUUGCACAAUGGGGGAAACCCUGAUGCAGCGACGCCGCGUGAGUGAAGAAGGAUGUCGGGAUGGAAAGCUCUAUCAGCAGGGAAGAAAAUGACGGUACCUGAGUAAGAAGCCCCGGCUAACUACGUGCCAGCAGCCGCGGUAAUACGUAGGGGGCAAGCGUUAUCCGGAUUUACUGGGUGUAAAGGGAGCGUAGACGGCAGCACAAGUCUGGAGUGAAAUGCCGGGGCUUAACCCCGGAACUGCUUUGGAAACUGUGCAGCUAGAGUGCAGGAGAGGUAAGUGUCAUUCCUUGUGUAGCGGUGAUAUGCGUAGAUCUUAGGAGGAACACCAGUGGCGAAGGCGGCUUACUGGACUGUAACUGACGUUGAGGCUCGAAAGCGUGGGGAGCAAACAGGAUUAGAUACCCCUGUAGUC
rnacentral:rRNA from 1 species